rnacentral:rRNA from 1 species
CCUUACGGCUCAGUAACACGUGGAUAACCUGCCCUUGGGUCCGGCAUAACCCCGGGAAACUGGGGAUAAUUCCGGAUAACGCACAUAUGCUGGAAUGCUUUAUGCGUAAAAUGGAUUCGUCUGCCCAAGGAUGGGUCUGCGGCCUAUCAGGUAGUAGUGGGUGUAAUGUACCUACUAGCCAACAACGGGUACGGGUUGUGAGAGCAAGAGCCCGGAGAUGGAUUCUGAGACAUGAAUCCAGGCCCUACGGGGCGCAGCAGGCGCGAAAACUUUACAAUGCGGGAAACCGUGAUAAGGGGACACCGAGUGCCAGCAUCAUAUGCUGGCUGUCCGGGUGUGUAAAAUACACCCGUUAGCAAGGGCCGGGCAAGACCGGUGCCAGCCGCCGCGGUAACACCGGCGGCCCGAGUGGUGAUCGUGAUUAUUGGGUCUAAAGGGUCCGUAGCCGGUUUGGUCAGUCCUCCGGGAAAUCUGAUGGCUCAACCAUUAGGCUUUCGGGGGAUACUGCCAGGCUUGGAACCGGGAGAGGUAAGAGGUACUACAGGGGUAGGAGUGAAAUCUUGUAAUCCCUGUGGGACCACCUGUGGCGAAGGCGUCUUACCAGAACGGGUUCGACGGUGAGGGACGAAAGCUGGGGGCACGAACCGGAUUAGAUACCCGGGUAGUCCCAGCCGUAAACGAUGCUCGCUAGGUGUCAGGCAUGGCGCGACCGUGUCUGGUGCCGCAGGGAAGCCGUGAAGCGAGCCACCUGGGAAGUACGGCCGCAAGGCUGAAACUUAAAGGAAUUGGCGGGGGAGCAC